ANNUGCAGUCGACGAACUCUGGUAUUGAUUGGUGCUUGCAUCAUGAUUUACAUUUGAGUGAGUGGCGAACUGGUGAGUAACACGUGGGAAACCUGCCCAGAAGCGGGGGAUAACACCUGGAAACAGAUGCUAAUACCGCAUAACAACUUGGACCGCAUGGUCCGAGCUUGAAAGAUGGCUUUGGCUAUCACUUUUGGAUGGUCCCGCGGCGUAUUAGCUAGAUGGUGGGGUAACGGCUCACCAUGGCAAUGAUACGUAGCCGACCUGAGAGGGUAAUCGGCCACAUUGGGACUGAGACACGGCCCAAACUCCUACGGGAGGCAGCAGUAGGGAAUCUUCCACAAUGGACGAAAGUCUGAUGGAGCAACGCCGCGUGAGUGAAGAAGGGUUUCGGCUCGUAAAACUCUGUUGUUAAAGAAGAACAUAUCUGAGAGUAACUGUUCAGGUAUUGACGGUAUUUAACCAGAAAGCCACGGCUAACUACGUGCCAGCAGCNGCCGGUA
rnacentral:rRNA from 1 species